GAUAACAAAAUGAUCUUGUGGUUUGAAGUUGAGGACUCUGGCUGUGGAAUUGAUCCAAGUAAAUGGGAAUCUGUAUUUGAAAGUUUCGAGCAAGCUGAUCCUUCUACCACUCGCUUGCAUGGUGGGACUGGCCUCGGACUAUGCAUUGUACGUACCCUGGUUAACAAAAUGGGUGGAGAGAUUAAAGUUGUAAAGAAAAAUGGACCAGGAACAGUGAUGCAAUUAUGCCUUCAACUAAACUGUCCAGCAGAAGUCGC
rnacentral:misc_RNA from 1 species